GUGCCAUUUAGAGAAAUACAAAUAAACAUCCCUAGAUGUUGUGUUAAAAAACAUUAAAGCCACUCAGCAGCAGAGCUUGUGUGGAGGGGUAAAGUGCUUUCAAA